CGGGGGGCUGCAGUGGGGGAUAUUGCACAAUGGGGGGAACCCUGAUGCAGCGACGCCGCGUGGGUGAAGGAGCGUUUCGGCGCGUAAAGCCCUAUCGGCAGGGAAGAACGGUCACUGUGCUAAUCAGCAGUGAAUUGACGGUACCUGCAAAGGAAGCACCGGCUAACUCCGUGCCAGCAGCCGCGGUAAUACGGAGGGUGCGAGCGUUAAUCGGAAUUACUGGGGGUAAAGCGCUCGUAGGCGGUAUGUCAAGUCAAGGGUGAAAUCCCCGCGCUCAACGUGGGAACUGCCUUUGAAACUGGCAAACUGGAGUGUGUGAGAGGAUAGUGGAAGUCCAGGUGUAGGAGUGAAAGCCGUAGAUAUCUGGAGGAACAUCAGUGGCGAAGGCGACUAUCUGGCACAUAACUGACGCUGAGGAGCGAAAGCGUGGGUAGCAAACAGGAUUAGAUACCCUAGUAGUC
rnacentral:rRNA from 1 species